rnacentral:rRNA from 1 species
ACGGGAGGCAGCAGUGGGGAAUAUUGCACAAUGGGGGAAACCCUGAUGUAGCGACGCCGCGUGAACGAUGAAGUAUUUCGGUAUGUAAAGUUCUAUCAGCAGGGAAGAUAAUGACGGUACCUGACUAAGAAGCACCGGCUAAAUACGUGCCAGCAGCCGCGGUAAUACGUAUGGUGCAAGCGUUAUCCGGAUUUACUGGGUGUAAAGGGUGCGUAGGUGGCAUGGCAAGUCUGAAGUGAAAUGCGGGGGUUCAACCCCUGAACUGCUUUGGAAACUGUCAAGCUUGAGUACAGGAGAGGAAAGCGGAAUUCCUAGUGUAGCGGUGAAAUGCGUAGAUAUUAGGAGGAACACCAGUGGCGAAGGCGGCUUUCUGGACUGUAACUGACACUGAGGCACGAAAGCGUGGGGAGCAAACAGGAUUAGAUACCCUGGUA